rnacentral:rRNA from 1 species
UACGUAUGGUGCAAGCGUUAUCCGGAUUUACUGGGUGUAAAGGGAGCGUAGGCGGUCUUUUAAGUCUGAUGUGAAAGCCUUCGGCUUAACCGGAGUAGUGCAUUGGAAACUGGGAGACUUGAGUGCAGAAGAGGAGAGUGGAACUCCAUGUGUAGCGGUGAAAUGCGUAGAUAUAUGGAAGAACACCAGUGGCGAAAGCGGCUCUCUGGUCUGUAACUGACGCUGAGGUUCGAAAGCGUGGGUAGCAAACAGA